UUUGUGUCUAUAUGAAAGUCCUAAUGAUCCUCUACGUAAUACUUUUUUGAAACAGCUGUGGCAUUAGGAUAAGAUCAUAAACUGUGCUGUCGAUAUACUAGUAUCUGCUCUAAAUUUAAACUACAACCAGGAAACCCCUAUAAACAGAGACGUCGUCAAUAUUUGCACUGGUACAUAUAUGUAGACGAUAUCGCACUUGUUGUCAUUUGUAAGCCGACAGACAGAGGAACAAUAAUGUGACUGUUAAACAGAAAACUAACCACAAAUAGAAAUAAUUAUUCAGACCAAUACAUCCAAAAUGGCUAAAUCAUUGCCUCCAGUAUCAGCUGACAAAUCUGCCAUGGACACUUUCUAUGUUCCCGGAAAAGUACGGGUCCCUCACUAUGGAAAACAAGUUUCUGUCCAUCCUGAGGUAAAUGUUGAUGAAGACAGUGACCAAGAAGACAGUGAGCAAAUCCAAGUGUUCAGUGAGAAGGACAGUUGAUUCGAGCGACCUCUUACGGGACUCAUCUCUUAGGAAAGACAAACGCCGAUUCAUAAUUCAAGGGCAUCCGAAGAAUAGAUUCUAACAAGUCUAGGGUAACCUUACGACGCCCAAAUAAAUCCCUCAUAACUUCCGUCACUGCUCAUAAGUUGCUAUGCGCAUGCAAACAGCAGAGUUUCGCCCAUGGAUUGAUGAAAGAUUAAAGGGACUUCCUUAUUUAUCGCCAUUUGAGUGAACAGCUUUAAAAAGUGUCCGUACUGCAUAAGACAUUUAAAAGUUUGAAAGGACCAAAAUGCGUUUAGAAAAGCAAGCAUGAAGACCAGUAAAAUGAACGCUGUUUAAAGACGAGAACGUCAAGUUGACAUCGCAUGUAUACGUUACGUAUUAGCGUUCAUUUGUAAACUGAUUGUUACGUGAACUGUCAUACACUUCCAUUACAUGCAUUUGUAUUUGUUUCAAUAACAUUAAAGUAAUGAAAACAUG